rnacentral:lncRNA from 10 species
AAGGACUCUUGCCUGCCUGGAAGGAAUCUCUUCUUGGGAACCUCGGCCCUGCUUACUUAGGACAGCUCAGAGAAGAGCACAGAGUAGUCCUGGCCAGAUCCCUUCUCCUUGCUAUUCCUCAUCCUUCCCGACUCCACUCACGAGAAUAUGUCAUUAACCACCACCCUCACCUCACCUAACCACCACUCUCAACUUAUCUAACCCGUACUCACUUCAACUACCACCCUCACCUCACCUAACCAUCACAUCACUUCACCCAACUACCACCCUCACCUCACCUAACCACAAGUCUCAUCUAACCCAUACUCCACCUAACCAUGACCCUCACCUCAUCUAACCUCCAUUCUCAACUCAUCUAACCAUCCCCUUCACCUAACCACCAUCUCACUUCACCUAACAGUCACCUUCACUUCACCUAACCACUCUCCUCACCUUAUCUAACCACCACUAUCAACUCAUCCAACCCAUCCUCACUUCACUUACCCACCACCCUCACCUCACGGAACCCAUCUUCACCUCACCUAACCACUAACCUCACCUCACCUAAUCACCACCUUCACCUCACCUAACCAUCACCCUCACCUCACCUAAUCACCACCUUCACUCACCUAACCACUAACUUCACCUCACCUAAUCACCACUCUCAACUUACCUAAUCUGUACUCACUUCACCUAACCACCCCCACUCACCUCGCCUAACCAUCACUUCACCCAACCACCACCCUCACCUCAAGCCUCAUCUAACCCAUACUUCACCUAACCAUGACCCUCACCUCAUCCAACCACCAUUCUCAAUUCAUCUAACCAUCUCCUUCACCUAACCACCAUCUCACUUCACCUAUCAACUUCACUUCACCUAACCACUCUUCUCACCUAACCACCACUCUCAAUUCAUCUAACCCAUACUCACUUCGCUUACCCACCAUAUUCACCUCACUUAUCCAUAACUCUUACCUCACCUAACUGCCACCCUCACAUCAUCUAACAACCACCUUCAUCUCCACCUAACCACUUUACUCACUUUAUCUAGCCACCACCCUCACCUCAUCCAACACAUACUCCCUUCACUUACCCACCACCUGACUCACCUCAUGGAACCCAUCUUCACCUCACCUAACCACUAACCUCACUUCACCUAACCACCACUCUGAACUCAUCUAACCUAUAUUCACUUCAACUAACCACAGCCUGCACCUUACCUAACCCACCCUCACCUCACCUAACAGCCACCCUCACAUCACGUAACCACCACCUUCACUUUGUGGUGGAAAGCAGUUUGCUGAUUUCUCAAAGAACUUAGAACUACCAUUCAACCUGGCAAUACCAUUACUGGCUAUAAACCCAAAGGCACAGAAAUCAUUCUAGCAAAAAGACAUGCCCAUCAACAGCCCUAUUCACAAAGCAAAGACAUGGAAUCAAUACGUCUCCAUCAAAGGUGGACUAGAUGAAGAACAUGUGGUACAUACAGAGCAUGGAAUAUUACGCAGCCACAAAGACUGAAAUCACGUCCUUUGAAGCACCAUGGAGGCAGCUGGAGGCCAUCAUCCUAAGCCAAUUAGCACAGCAACAGAAAACCAAAUACCACGUGUUCUCGUAAGUGGGAGCAAAACACGGUACUCAGGGAGGAGAAAU